ACCAAGUCCCGCACUGUUUUGGUGGAUAUUAUAGACAAGAAUGGUUUGCAGAUGUUACACAACAUAAUGAAACGAUCUCAAAGGGAAUUCAAUAAGAUCCCAAUUCUCAGAAAGUUGCUUAAGGUUUUGGAGUAUUUGGCUGCGAGAGGGAUUCUUUCUCAUGAGCACAUUAAUGGAGGUCCCUCUAGACCAGGAGUAGAGAGCUUUAGGGUCUCAAUUUUGGGA
rnacentral:misc_RNA from 1 species